UACGUAGGGUGCGAGCGUUGUCCGGAAUUAUUGGGCGUAAAGAGCUCGUAGGCGGUGUGUCGCGUCGGCCGUGAAAACCUGCAGCUUAACUGUGGGCUUGCGGUCGAUACGGGCAUCACUGGAGUUCGGCAGGGGAGACUGGAAUUCCUGGUGUAGCGGUGAAAUGCGCAGAUAUCAGGAGGAACAUCGGUGGCGAAGGCGGGUCUCUGGGCCGAUACUGACGCUGAGGAGCGAAAGCGUGGGGAGCGAACAGG
rnacentral:rRNA from 1 species